AUAACCUUGGCCAAGGUACACUCCCCCCACCAGUCAGUCUCCAGUCUGGAUCUUAACUGCAAGUCCCCACAUAGCCAGUAAAUGUCUCCUAGUGACCUGGUGCGAUGUUGUAACAGACGUAUGGGGACAGUUCUGUAAGUGGCACAAUAACCUUUAGAAAAAUUACCCAUGAAUUUACCAAUCCCGUCAUACAUGGCAUAACAAGUGUAAUUAC